rnacentral:lncRNA from 7 species
GAUCCUGUGGUGACAUCCUGCUGAUCCCAUGGUGACAUCCUGGUGAUCCCAUAGUGAGGUCCUGGUGAUCCCAUGGGGACAUCCUGGUGCUGCCAUGGUGACAUCCUGGUGAUCCCAUAGUGACAUCCUGGUGAUCCCAUGGUGACAUUCAGGUGAUCCCAUGGGGACAUUCUGGUGAUCCCAUGGGGACAUCGCACUGAUCCCAUGGUGACAUCCUGGUGAUCCCAUGGUGACCUCCUGGUGAUCCCAUGGUGAUGUUAUGGUGAUCCCAUGGUGACAUUCAGGUGAUCCCAUGGGGACAUUCAGGUGAUCCCAUGAUGACAUCCUGGUGAUCCCAUGGGGACAUUCAGGUGAUCCCAU